UGUAUUAGAAAAAUGAUUUAAAGACACGACCCGAGAAAUAAUUGUCAACAUCGCCUUGGCGUCGUCCGCCGAGUACGAACCAUCUAGAAAUGUUCCAUGCGAUCUUUGGCUCGUUCAAUUGCAACCAGUUUUAGCCCGGAUGAAGAGAGGCGAGGAAAACGAGAUGGAAAACUGGCAGCCAACUGGAGAACAAGACAGCACAAACUCUAAACAGCACAGAACUGAACUGAACAAAGUCGAGUCCAUGUUAACUAGAUAUCUCUGUUCUGGGUCUUCAAGUUCAACGAAAUGUGAAUUGCGUGUGGUCCGCGAAUAAGAAAGAGGGUAAACAUGAACCACAAAGGCGAACGAAUGAAAUGAAGGUAAAAGGUAACAGCUAAUUUGCCAUAACAACGAGAUAAUCGAAGGAAGUGCAUAACUUUCGUUCUUCAAUCAGCGCAGAAACGUGUUUUAAUUCAUUUUUAACCAAUAUUGUGCCAUAUUCGCAGAACACAAAAAGGGCGAAAGGGGUUAAAAGCAGCUGGAGAAAGAAUGCAGGGGGCAAAAGGAAGUGGCAAGAGGAGAGGAGGGUGCGAUGAGAAGAUCCCGACAAAAUCAGAGGCGCAUGCGAAAACAAUUGAAGCGUGCAAAAAGCAGCUGAAGAGGGGAAGACACGUAAAAAAAAGAAAAGCAACUGAAAAAAGCAAGAGUUUUAUGGCCGGAGAAAAAGAACACAAAACCGCAACACACGAAGGGAAACUCUGGGCGCUGGGAAACGGAAAUCAAAAGCGGCAAGGCAGCAAUGUUGUUGCAGCUUUGCAUAUAAUUUAUGUUGAAAAAGCAUAGCAAAAGCUGCUUAUGAGUUGCGAGAUUGAAAAUGUGAGAAGCAGAAGAGGUAAAAAUAAAUGCGUGUGCAGGUGUGAAAAUGAGAUCACGGGAACUUUUUUACACCCCACCUCUGCACACAGCCAGUGGUGGUUAUUCAUAAUUCUGUUUUACUUUUUAUGUUU